CUGCAGCUCAAGUGGUGGCCGCUAUUAUUGGGCCUAAAACGUCCGUAGCCUGUUUAGUAAAUGCUUGGGUAAAUUGUGUAGCUUAACUAUACGAAUACCGGGUAGACUGCUAAACUUGGGACCGGGAGAGGCUAGAGGUACUCCUAGGGUAGAGGUGAAAUUCUGUAAUCCUAGGGGGACCACCAGUGGCGAAGGCGUCUAGCCAGAACGGGUCUGACGGUGAGGGACGAAGCCCUGGGGCGCAAACCGGAUUAGAUACCCGAGUAGUCC
rnacentral:rRNA from 1 species